CAGCUGCUAGAUAUUGAAAUAUUUGAAUCAUUGAGCAAAUCAUACUCCAAACAAUUGAAUGAAUGAAUGAGAACUGAAAUGAGAUUCAUAUACACUACAAAGAGAUCUUUUUGACAGCUAUUUUAUUCUAUAUAAUAUGAAAUAUUUAUAUCUUUAAAUAUUGCAUCUGUGUUCACUGCUGCUGGCCUACAUUCAUUUGAUUCAGAAUGGGUUUUUAAAAAGCUUGCAAUACAGCCUUGCAUCUGUAACAGACGUACUUCAAUUAACGAUCUAGCACUAUUCUAAUACAGAUUAUGAAUUGAUUAAGAAAAGAA
rnacentral:sRNA from 1 species